ACAGAGAGGGUAGUGUGGAACUGAUAGUCUUAAUUAGCUGUGGAGCAUCUCAUUUGGCAAUGGCUUGAAUGUAACGGACGUUCUUUAAUAUCAAAAAGUCACGGACUCAAGAC